rnacentral:piRNA from 1 species
UCCUACUACCACUUAAGCACAGUUCUGAAU